UGGGUGGUUGUUAGAGAACUCGAUACUGAGCAUUACUAUAUGAGAGAUCACAUGGAUGUCUACUCAUUCAUUGGUAAUCUUCUCGAUACUGUAGUAGUGUGAAUGAUUCUUUGACCUAUGGUGCCUUGGCUGCUUACAGUGAGAUUGCUAUAGUUUGACCGUACAUAAACAUGAUCUCUUAGCUAUUUAGAAUCUUGUAGUGUAUGUUGGCUAUAGUAGGUUCAUUGUGGUAGGGUGUGCAUCUAGAUGGGAUCUAUUGACCUUAAUAGAUAAGUAGUCCUAUAAAAUUUGAGAAGCUAAGUCCUUAACUCUAUGGCCACAGUAAGAAGAUUGAUGUAAAAGAGUUUUCAUGAGUUUCAUAUUUUGAACUUGAGUUAAUCAAAUUUUUUAUAUGACAGAUGUUGAGAUUUGAUGAGUUUUCAUAAUCUCCAUCUUGUUGGAACUCAUGAUAGAGAAAUUAAAUCAUACGGUAACUAUAUGUAGGGGUUUUAUUUUUCUAUUUUGUUAGAUUAUCAC
rnacentral:lncRNA from 1 species